GGGGAGCAUAAAUCUCUACCCCUGCCUUGGCAUUGGUCCCAGUUAAAAUAUCAUGAAAUAGCUCCCUCCCGAUUAAAAACUGGAUCCAAAUGAGCAGGGAGGUGCUCGCGCUGUCUAUAGUGGAGGGGGGAUGUACAUAGUUUGGAGUCAAAAAAGGAGGAAAAGGAAAAAAGGAAGAGAUUAAAUCCAAAGAAUAAAAGAAUGAAAAAAUGUCCCUUCUGGACAUAUUUACAGG
rnacentral:lncRNA from 1 species